rnacentral:rRNA from 1 species
GACGAACGCUGGCGGCGUGCUUAAUACAUGCAAGUCGAGCGAGGUUACUGUUUCGGAUUCCUUCGGGGUGAAGAAGCUUUAACCUAGCGGCGGACGGGUGAGUAACGCGUGGGUAACCUACCCCAAAGUCCGGGAUAACAGCGGGAAACCGCUGCUAAUACCGGAUGUCUUUACCUUGGGGCAUCUUGAGGUAAAGAAAGGUAACGCUUUGGGAUGGGCCCGCGUCCCAUUAGCUAGUUGGUGAGGUAACGGCUCACCAAGGCGACGAUGGGUAGCCGGCCUGAGAGGGUGGACGGCCACACUGGGACUGAGACACGGCCCAGACUCCUACGGGAGGCAGCAGUAGGGAAUAUUGCGCAAUGGACGGAAGUCUGACGCAGCGACGCCGCGUGAGCGAUGAAGGUCUUCGGAUCGUAAAAGCUCUGUCCUUGGGGAAGAAGGCGAAAAGCUUGACGGUACCCAAGAAGAAAAGCCCCGGCUAACUACGUGCCAGCAGCCGCGGUAAAAAUAGCGUACU